rnacentral:lncRNA from 12 species
UAGAGACACUUUAGCAGAAGAAAGAGGACAAACUUACAGCUGUUUAAGCCUGGCACAAACAAGCUGCAGAGAGCAGAGCUGGAAAAGGCACCAGCUCAGGAUAUUAAGGUGAUUAAUCC